CAAAUGGAGCCUUAUCUCAUAGAGCUUUCUAAGAAGUAUGGAGUACAUGUUUGUGGAGAAGGUGGAGAGUAUGAAACUUUCACUUUGGAUUGCCCUCUAUUUAAGAAGAAAAUAAUUGUGGAUUCGUCAGAAGUAGUCAUACAUUCAGCUGAUGCAUUUGCACCUGUGGCUUAUCUACGCUUUUUAGAAUUGCACUUGGAGGACAAGGUCAAAAACCAAUGUAUUCAAGAAAACCUCCCACCAGUUACCAGUGGACUAGCAGCAUCUGAGCCACGUUUCUCUCAUUCAGUGGAGAAAGCAUGUUACAUGCGGCUGCUUAAGCCUUUUCUUUUCUCCAAGGUGCUAAUUUAGUUAGUAUUUAGUGAGUAAGAAAAUUGCUUUUAAAAACAGAAAAUAAAUUAACAGGUUUAUUUAUUUUUCUUUAUUUUUAUUCUUCUGAAAACCUGAAUCUAUAAAUGUCUGGUAUUAAAUGAUGUUUAAUGAU
rnacentral:sRNA from 1 species